CAGAGACAAGGUGGGUUUGAGCCACUAAACUAAGUAUUUAUUACACUCCAAAGACAAUAUUCAUUUGACCAUAAAAAUAAGUGAAAAGCAGAACCAAUGUAAAAAGAGACAAAACAACCAACAAUACAAAACACAACAGGAGAGGAGAAUUUCUAUUGUAAAGAUAUUAAAGUGGAAACUAUUUAAGUGGGUGCAAUGAUCAUCAUGGGUGGAUGUAUAACAAAAGACAAGGAAGUUAAAUGUACACAACAUGCACUUAUCAACAGAAAACCAAAUAACACACUAAAACCAUGCAAGGUUCCUAAUAAAAUGAGCCAGUUAUAUGUCACCACCUCUACAAAUAAUUUAAGCAACCACUAAGUUUCUAUAAACUAAACCAGAUUAUAAAAGUCACUAACCUUAAGCAAGACCUCCAAAAGAAAUGACCUCUCCUCAAUACAAACAUAAAACGAAAUCAUCACUAUACACAAACAGGCAAAGGUUCCAGUCCCGAUAAAUGUAAAUAAAUAAAACAUGUAACCUAAAUGAGUAAGUGUAAACUCAAACUAGGCAAAACAGCAGCGGCGCUGUGCACUACACGAACAGAACAAAUACAAAAGUCAAGAUCUGUCCCGGCAUGGCAAAACAUACAGUAAAGGUGACAAUCAAACAAAGGAAGAGUACCUUGGCUGUCUCCUCCAGUGAAUCACACAGAGCGUCAACCUCGAACCAAGCAGCAGAACAGCACACAAUGCACACCAGGCAGCAACCACCGCAGAUUUGCGACCUACACCCUCCUGGUGGCAUACUGGGAUCUGAUUGAGGUCAGCAGACACCAAGUUAAGAGUCACCAGUGCAAACACGUCCAAGAUAAGUGUUCCUUGACCAAAAACAUCACUCCCACCAAUCAAUGAGUUUUUCUUGUUGGGUCUGAAACAGAAGGAUUUGGGCUUUUUUUUUUACAUCCACCAGUCAACAGUGAUCCAGAUAAUCAUGUCUUGUGACAACUUCUUCUACUUCCUGCUUGGCUCAGUAUGGAUAUGGAUCCCCAAAGAUAACAUCAAAGCCAACAUGCCACCCAAGUUCAAUGAUCUAAUUAUCUAGACACCAAAGUUGUGAUCAACUGCACUGAACUUUGCUGCCAGACACCAUCUUCCCUACUCCUGCAAAUUGAGGUGUUUUCUUCACUCUGUACCUUCAAGGGCAUGUUAGGAACGUCACCACACGGAGUUGUCACUUUUGUGUCCUCUUUGUAUGCUGGUUCUGUGAGUGACAAGGAGAUUGUUAUGCCGCCAGGAAUUCUUUCCUUACUUAUCCCUGAUCAUGGCCUUUAUGGUGGAUGAGGGCUACCUUGUGGAUGAUCUUGUUCCAUGCGGGAUCUGUCGGCCAGCUUUUCUGCAGAGGCGCCACAGAUGCCAGCGCAUGAGGUUAGGGAGGCCCUAUCCAGUGCCAGGCAAAGGGUGCAUGUCAAAACAAUGAUUCAGAGAGUAAAGGAGCACAAGCUGUUUGACAGUCAUCCCUCUGAUUGUCUUAGGAAGCAUCAACUAACUAUUUGCAGUCAUGCUUGCUGGUCAAUGAAAAUGGACCUUUGGUCAGAGCAUGGGCCAAGCUGCUAUAAACGUACAUUUGUUUUUGCUUUGGGUCACUCUGACCAUGAAGAUUUUUUUUUUUAAAGAUAACCAACUGCAUUAAGUAAUAGUUACAUAUAAUGAAAUGUUUAUUGAAUAUUCCCAGAUUGUGUGCCUACCACAAAUCAGGUAAACGUCACAAAUGUCAAAAUAUGAAAUGUAUAAUUUGUGGAUUAAAUGUAUUAAUAACUUGUAACACUUCAAUGCAUAUUAGUUGUUUGUGUUGAUCUUGUAUUGGCCUUAAUAAGGAAAUUUGUUUUAGUAAGCACCGAAGAGAAAAAAUGAAAGAUUCAAC
ensembl:lncRNA